GUUGAAAACGGAAACUCUAAAUGUGAUCUCUACUCCGUCAUGUUGUCUACACUCAUGUGCAUUAUGACCACUCGCAUCUGAGAUGCGAGCUUGAACUCUUGACCAAGAAGUGGCUCGAAGAAGGACCUCCAGCCCACCAAAAUCUGACAGCCACAAUCUGGAACGGAGGCUUUCUAAUGGAUAUUUGCCAUCUAUCUACAAGUGUACAGACCUUUGCUGUCAAAUUGUUUCACUGCACAAACACCCAGUUUGCCCCGAAGAGUACCGUUUUGGAUAUUCAAGCAUGGUGGAGAGAACAUGCGUUGCUGCACUUCACUGCAACGAAAAUACCCGAAGACAAAAAUCAAAAGGCUGCUGUUGUUGCAGCUGUGAAAGAAUCUUGCUCCUACUUUGCACAAUUGCUUGAAUGCUUGAUUUGAACAUAUUGCUUGAAUGCUCGGUUUCUACCAGUUCGGCCCAGACUACCUUGGUCCUUCGUCACAUAUUGACUGUAGUGAAAAUUGAAAAAGGAAAACAUAGGCCAUGGUUUUGUUGCAGGACGGUUGCGAUCAAGAAGCUUUUAUCAAGUCAUCAUGCAUGUCAGCCUCCAAGGACACAGUGAGCUUUCGGGCAGAUGCUAAAAUUAAUUGAUGAUUAAAAAAGUUUAUUGUAGCUUUA